ensembl:snRNA U6 U6 spliceosomal RNA
GUGCCCACUGGCAGCACAUAUAAUAAAAUGGAACAAAACUGAGAAAAUUAGCAUGGCCCUUGCAUGAGUAUGAUACACAGAAACAACAAAACGCUGGGCUGAACAUGGUG